UACGAAGGGGGCUAGCGUUGCUCGGAAUGACUGGGCGUAAAGGGCGCGUAGGCGGAUGGCUUUGUCGGGCGUGAAAUUCCAGGGCUUAACCUUGGGGCUGCGUUCGAGACGGGCUGUCUUGAGUGGGGAAGAGGGUCGUGGAAUUCCCAGUGUAGAGGUGAAAUUCGUAGAUAUUGGGAAGAACACCAGUGGCGAAGGCGGCUUCCUGGACCGGUUCUGACACUGAGGAGCGAAAGCGUGGGGAGCGAUCCGG
rnacentral:rRNA from 1 species